AAUGGACGAAAGUCUGAACCAGCUAUGCCGCGUGGAGGAUGAAGGCCCUCUGGGUUGUAAACUUCUUUUAUAUGGGACGAAAAAGGGCCUUUCUAGGUCAACUGACGGUACCAUGUGAAUAAGCACCGGCUAACUCCGUGCCAGCAGCCGCGGUAAUACGGAGGGUGCAAGCGUUAUCCGGAUUCACUGGGUUUAAAGGGUGCGUAGGUGGGUUGGUAAGUCAGUGGUGAAAUCCCCGAGCUUAACUUGGGAACUGCCAUUGAUACUAUUAGUCUUGAAUACCGUGGAGGUCGGCGGAAUAUGUCAUGUAGCGGUGAAAUGCUUAGAUAUGACAUAGAACACCAAUUGCGAAGGCAGCUGGCUACACGAGUAUUGACACUGAGGCACGAAAGCGUGGGGAUCAAA
rnacentral:rRNA from 1 species